rnacentral:rRNA from 1 species
AACGUACGCUGGCGGCGUGCUUAACACAUGCAAGUCGAACGCGAAAGUAGCUCUUCGGAGCUGCGAGUAGAGUGGCAGACGGGUGAGUAACACGUGGGUAACCUACCCCUAGGCGGGGGAUAACAGUUCGAAAGGACUGCUAAUACCGCAUAAGACCACGCAUCUUCGGAUGAGUGGUUAAAGUCUUCGGACACCAAGGGAGGGGCCCGCGGUUGAUUAGCUUGUUGGUGGGGUAAUGGCCUACCAAGGCGACGAUCAAUAGCUGGUCUGAGAGGAUGAUCAGCCACACUGGUACUUAGACACGGACCAGACUCCUACGGGAGGCAGCAGUGGGGAAUAUUGGACAAUGGGGGCAACCCUGAUCCAGCAAUGCCGCGUGUGUGAUGAAGGCCCUAGGGUUGUAAAGCACUUUCACUGGUGAAGAUGAUGACGGUAACCAGAGAAGAAGCCCCGGCUAACUUCG